AUGCUCAUGUGCAUUGGCUGGAAGAUAACCUGGCUGAGGCCAGUGCCCAGCUGGCUGUGGUGGGGGAGAGCCAAGCUGAAAAUAAAGCCAUCAGGCUCCAAGGUCUCUGGAAGCUUACACUGUAAACAUUUAGAAGAUGCUACAGUCUCUUGUCCUUGUGGCCAAGAGAAACCAGUGAUGGACACCCUGGCACACACCCAGAGUUUCCUGGGCUCUCCCCCAGCCUCCAUCAGCUGGCAGAGAGCCCCUCUCUGCUGCAGGGAGAUGAUGUGGUGUCCUGUUCCCAUUUUGUGAAAGCAACCAUCUGAAAGGCUGGAUAAAAACUGGGGAAAAAAAAUUCUCUUUAUUAGUGUUCUUCAUUCUUCCACCUCUGUGAACACAUGCAGCUAGCAGGGCUCAUUCAGAAAUCCAGGAUAAUAUCUAGCAGUGAAAGAAAAGGGCAGCUGACAAAAAGUGACUGAAACCAUUUCAUGCUGUUUCCAGUCAAAGGAUCUGUCUGGUGCACUCAGGAGAGUUCAUGGUCCUGAAAUAAACCUAUCACAUGAAAUAUCUGUUUUCUUCCC
rnacentral:lncRNA from 1 species